rnacentral:rRNA from 1 species
CUUUCUUUGCUGGCGACCGGCGCACGGGCGAGUAACACGUAUCCAACCUGCCCUUUACUCGGGGAUAGCCUUUCGAAAGAAAGAUUAAUACCCGAUAGCAUAAUGAUUCCGCAUGGUUUCAUUAUUAAAGGAUUCCGGUAAAGGAUGGGGAUGCGUUCCAUUAGGUUGUUGGUGGGGUAACGGCCCACCAAGCCUUCGAUGGAUAGGGGUUCUGAGAGGAAGGUCCCCCACAUUGGAACUGAGACACGGUCCAA